rnacentral:rRNA from 2 species
GGACUACUGGGGUAUCUAAUCCUGUUUGAUCCCCGCACUUUCGAGCCUCAGUGUCAGUUAUAGUUUCGUUAGCUGCCUUCGCAAUCGGUGUUCUAUGACAUCUCUAUGUAUUUCACCACUACAUGUCAUAUUCCGCCAACGGCAUCUAUACUCAAGCCCUACAGUAUCAAUGGCAAUUUCGCAGUUAAGCCGCGAGAUUUCACCACUGACUUAUAAGGCCACCUACGCUCCCUUUAAACCCAAUGAAUCCGGAUAACGCUUGCAUCCUUCGUCUUACCGCGGCUGCUGGCAC